CUCUUUAAUUAUCUUUUUUUGCAUAAUGGUGACACGCGUGGUGUGGAUGGUGCACAGGUUGGUGUCCUCGAAGAGGCCGACAAGGUAGGGUUAGGGGGCUCCCUGGAGUGCCAUGAAGGCAGAGAUUCGAAUUCCGUAGGUGAACCUGCGGAGGGAUCAUUACAGAGUUAGUAGUCCAAACCCAUUGUGAACCUUACCUAUGAUCCGUUGCCUCGGCGGUGUCGGUCAGCGCCCCUGAGAAAAGAGGACGAUGCCCCUCCCGCCGGCAGCACCCAACUCCCGAAUUGACAGUGGAAUACCGUUUGAUUGAAAACAAAAAAAUCAUUAAAACUCAACAACGAAUU
rnacentral:misc_RNA from 1 species